AUGGGAGCCUCACCUUUCUGGAAAGGAAUACUUUGGGCCAUUAAGGCCUCUAAAUUUGGGUAUGGCUGGAAGGUGGGCAAUGGUAAAAAUGUUAGGUUUUGGGAAGAUUGUUGGUGUGGAGAGACUAAUCUUGCUACUAAAUACUGGAGACUGUACUCCAUUGCGGUGGACCAACAGGCUACCAUUGAGGAGGUUUGGGAUGGAACCAACCUCAAGAUCAAUUUCAGAAGAUGUUUUUCCCCUGACAUGAUGAUAGACUGGAAUAGCCUUUUUGACGAGAUUAAAAAUAUAGUCCUGAUAGACAGACCUGAUACUCUUGUUUGGAAAUACGAGACAAAAGGGCUAUAUACAGUGAAAUCCUUUUACAAUAUUGUUAAUUUUAGAGGGAUCCUACCUGGGGUUAAACCUGUGGUGUGGAAAAUAAAAAUCCCACCUCGUAUUCAAAUUUUUCUCUGGCUGAUUGUGAAUAAUAAACUCUUGACCAGAGACAACCUGUGCAAGAGGCAACAUGUUCCAUAUAGAACUUGCCUUUUUUGUUCUGAACAUGAGACCUCUUGUCAUUUAUUCUUUUCUUGUGUGGUUGCUGCGGAACUGUGGAGAGUUGUCAGGGAUGCGGCCAAUAUCAAUAUUUGUGAAGAUAUGCACAAAAUGCUGAUAGGCUGGGCCAGCAAACCUGACACGGCAGCUGCAUUUGUGCAAGCUCCGGCCCUGUGGGCUCUCUGGAGGAGCAUGAAUGACAUAUGUUUUAAUCGAGUGCCUUGGAUGGGUAUGUAG
rnacentral:rRNA from 1 species